GCAAACUUGGUCAUUUAGAGGAAGUAAAAGUCGUAACAAGGUUUCCGUAGGUGAACCUGCGGAAGGAUCAUUACCUUAGUAGUCUCUGACUGCUUUAUGCCCUUGUCUAUGAGCGCCUGUUUUGUUUCCUCGGCGGGUCCGCCCGCCAAUGAGGACCCCAACCAAACCCUUUUGUAAAGCAACAGUCUGAACCUUUUGCAACGCAAUCAAAACUUUCAACAACGGAUCUCUUGGUUCUGGCAUCGAUGAAGAACGCAGC
rnacentral:misc_RNA from 1 species